AGCGAACGCUGGCGGCAGGCCUAACACAUGCAAGUCGAACGAAGCCUUCGGGCUUAGUGGCGGACGGGUGAGUAACACGUGGGAACGUACCUUUAGGUUCGGAACAACUCAGGGAAACUUGAGCUAAUACCGGAUAAGCCCUUCGGGGGAAAGAUUUAUCGCCUUUAGAGCGGCCCGCGUUAGAUUAGCUAGUUGGUGAGGUAAAGGCUCACCAAGGCUACGAUCUAUAGCUGGUCUGAGAGGAUGAUCAGCCACACUGGGACUGAGACACGGCCCAGACUCCUACGGGAGGCAGCAGUGGGGAAUCUUGCGCAAUGGGCGAAAGCCUGACGCAGCCAUGCCGCGUGAAUGAUGAAGGUCUUAGGAUUGUAAAAUUCUUUUACCAGGGACGAUAAUGACGGUACCUGGAGAAAAAGCCCCGGCUAACUUCGUGUCAGCAGCCGCCGUAA
rnacentral:rRNA from 1 species